rnacentral:rRNA from 1 species
GAUGAACGCUGGCGGCGUGCUUAACACAUGCAAGUCGAACGAAGAAUCUAAGACAGUUUUCUUCGGAUUGUAGUCUUUUAUGACUGAGUGGCGGAUGGGUGAGUAACGUGUGGGUAACCUGUCACAUCCAGGGGGAUAGCCUCAGGCCACGGCAGAUAAUAAAGCAUAAGCGCCAAGUAUCAAAUGGUACAUUGUGAAAACCUCUAGUGGUAUGAGAUGGACCCGCGUUGGAUUAGCAUGUUGGCGGGUUAACGGGCCACCAAGGCGACAAUCCGUAGCCGAGAAGAGAGACAGGCCCGACACACUGAGAGUGAGACGCGGCCGGGACUCCUACGGGAGGCAGCAGUGGGGAAUAGUGCAAAAUGGAGGGAGCUCUGAUGCAGCGACGCCGGGUGAGUGAAGAAGUAGUUCGAGAAGAAAAGCUCUAGCAGCAGGGAAGAUAGUGACGGUACCUGACGAAGAAGCUCCGGCUAAAUACGUG